GUCUAUACAUAUGUAUAGCUGUGUUCUUGUCGACGUUUUGUAUGAAGGAUCAGCUGGGAGUUGUUUUGGUCGCCGCUGCCUCGCCAUGGACAAGGUGGAGUUGCCAAUGCUACACUCCCUGACUCCAGGGUCAGUGGCACCUUCCUUAGACACAUUAUCUGAGUCUACCCGCCAUUCACCCAGAAGUGAACCUCCUCCCCUGUCUCCAUUGCCUGAGGAGGAAGAGGAAGAGGAACCUAACAGCCCUCCAGCCUCUCCUGAGCAGGAAGUGGUAGAUGUUGAGUCUCACCAACCAUGUGUUGUGGACCUCACAAAUGAAGAUGAGGACGAUGUAGAUGUGGUGGCAGUGGUACCCCAGGAACAAUCCAUAAUUGUGAGUUGUUGCCACUCAGGAAAAGAAUAUAUGCAUACUGAAGUCACAGUAGUACCGAAAAAUCAAUAUUUUGAACCUGGCUGUUAGAUUUCAUGCUGGAUAGCAUGAGUUGGCUCGACAACUUGCCUUGUUAUCAGUCUUUCCAGUAUUCCUGGUGCUACAUUCAUCACAGUGUUGUGCAUUAGCUAUAUUACUGUUAUUUUGAUAUUGUCCUUUAUCUAAAAAUUAAAAUUUCAAUAUGUUGUUAUUUCAUAAUAUAUGUAUUUGAAAGUG